rnacentral:tRNA from 1 species
GUGAUUGUAGUUCAGCGGUAGAACGCAGGUUUGUGGCACCUGAUGUCGGGGGUUCGAAUCCCCUCUUUCACCCCA